CAAGGCACCUCCAGAAUGUUGUCUCCUCUAGGCAGCGCCUCAUCGACCUCCUUGCCUGAAGCAGUGCUGCCUCACCUCUACUUCCUUGCCCGAGUAGUGCCAUGUAGGUCCUUUGCUUCAUCGCCAGAGCAGCACCACAUCCUCUGCUUUUUAAUCAACGGCAAUUAUAGUGAAACUGGUCAAGAAUGGACAAGAGUUGGAUGGAUAAAGCUAGAAACACACAAGCAUAUAUUGACGGGGAUAUCGACAUGAAGAUGGACAUCAAGGUGGAUGUGGACAUGAAGGGGAAUAUGGGGGUGGAUAUGAAGCAUGUGAGCUUUUGUUCUUCAGAUUGAAUUUAUCAUGGCUGGUUGCUUAAAAAGCUUUCUUUCUAUCCUAUCCUGUGUAUGCAGUUGGAAGUGGACAAGCCCAUGGCGAAAGCAGGAAUGCAACCACAAGCAAGCUGAGGAGGUUUCACUAUAGAUGUUGACGGAGAUUAGGAAGAUCUUGAAGCCGCUGAUGAUUUGGAAAACCUAUGAUUAAAUUGCUGAGUGAUUAUGUAAUAUGCUAUGUUUGUUGAACCUGGACACUUGCUGUCUUGCUCUGCUCAUUUGCUGGUUAAGCCACUAUAUGCUCAUUUUGGUUGUGUGGCACCCCCAUAAACAUAUGUACUUUCUCCUUUUGUGGCAAUACUUCAGUUUGGUUGUGGCACAUUUAACAUGUAUGUAAUGUACCUUUUGUGGCAGAACCUCCUUAUA